UACAGAGGGUGCGAGCGUUGUUCGGAAUUACUGGGCGUAAAGGGCGCGUAGGCGGCCACCGCAAGUCAAUUGUGAAAUCUCCGGGCUUAACUCGGAAAGGUCAACUGAUACUGCGGGGCUAGAGUGCGGAAGGGGCAACUGGAAUUCUCGGUGUAGCGGUGAAAUGCGUAGAUAUCGAGAGGAACACCUGCGGCGAAGGCGGGUUGCUGGGCCGACACUGACGCUGAUGCGCGAAAGCCAGGGGAGCGAACGGG
rnacentral:rRNA from 1 species